GACGAACGCGGCGGCGUGCCUAAUACAUGCAAGUCGAGCGAAGUUUUUCUGGUGCUUGCACUAGAAAAACUAGCGGCGAACGGGUGAGUAACACGUAAAGAACCUGCCUCAUAGACUGGGAUAACUAUUGGAAACGAUAGCUAAUACCGGAUAACAGUAUUUCUCGCAUGAGAGAUGUUUAAAAGUUGGUUAUGCUAACACUAUGAGAUGGCUUUGCGGUGCAUUAGCUAGUUGGUGGGGUAAAGGCCCACCAAGGCGACGAUGCAUAGCCGACCUGAGAGGGUGAUCGGCCACACUGGGACUGAGACACGGCCCAGACUCCUACGGGAGGCAGCAGUAGGGAAUCUUCCGCAAUGGGCGAAAGCCUGACGGAGCAACGCCGCGUGAGUGAAGAAGGAUUUCGGUUCGUAAAGCUCUGUUGUUAGGGAAGAAUGGAUAUGUAGUAACUAUACAUGUACGAGACGGACCUAACCAAAAAAGCCCCGG
rnacentral:rRNA from 1 species